GAUGAACGCUGGCGGCGUGCUUAACACAUGCAAGUCGAACGGAAACAGGAUGAAGCCUAGCGAUUCCAGCUUUAGUGGCGGACGGGUGAGUAACGCGUGGGUAACCUGCCUUACACUGGGGGAUAACCGUUAGAAAUAGCUGCUAAUACCGCAUAAGCGCACAGGGCCGCAUGGCCUGGUGUGAAAAACUCCGGUGGAGUAAGAUGGACCCGCGACUGAUUAGCUAGUUGGUGAGGUAACGGCCCACCAAGGAGACGAUCGGUAGCCGGCCUGAGAGGGUGAGCGGCCAGAUUGGGACUGAGACACGGCCCAGACUCCUACGGGAGGCAGCAGUGGGGAAUAUUGCACAAUGGGGGAAACCCUGAUGCAGCGAAGCCGCGUGAGUGAAGAAGUAUUUCGGUAUGUAAAGCUCUGUCAGCAAGGAAGAAAAUGACGGUACUUGAAGAAGAAGCCCCGGCUAACUACGUGCCAGCAGCCGCCGUAA
rnacentral:rRNA from 1 species